AAAAAAACAAAAAUUAGCUGCCAUACUGUUGCCUUAUUGGAUGCAACAAGACUUUCCCACUGGCAUGACUAUGAAAAGCUCUGACUGAGGGUGUUUACCAGGCACUGGGCUGUGGAUAACAGUGCAAGCCAUUUUGCAUUACUGCAAUUAUCAUGGCAACAGCAGAGGUACAGGCUGACUCCCCCGAGACUGCCUACAGAUAGUUUUUCAGAUCUUCAAUCAGAAACCAGUCAUUAUGAAUCAACAGUGUGCAACCCAAAUGGUGGCCCACUGCUGAACUUGUUAUAAAUUAAAAAAAUGUUUUUC